rnacentral:rRNA from 1 species
GAUCCUGGCUCAGGAUGAACGCUGGCGGCGUGCCUAACACAUGCAAGUCGAACGAAGCACCUUACCGGAUUCUUCGGAUGAAGGUCUGGUGACUGAGUGGCGGACGGGUGAGUAACGCGUGGGUAACCUGCCCUGUACAGGGGGAUAACAGCUGGAAACGGCUGCUAAUACCGCAUAAGCGCACGAGGAGACAUCUCCUAGUGUGAAAAACUCCGGUGGUACAGGAUGGGCCCGCGU